rnacentral:SRP_RNA from 2 species
GGAAGAUCUGCAGAUAGACAUGUCUAUUUGUGAAUCCGGUCAGGUUCGGAAGAAAGCAGCCGAAGCAAGCAAGCGUGGGUUAUGUGCGUGAUCUUCCACU